UGAAGAUACCCUAAACUUAACCUAACCUAACCUAACAAAACCCCAAACAGUCACUAUAGGUCUUGACUCAGAAAAUUCAUAUAUGCUUCCUUACUAAUGAGACUUUCUAUACAACAAAGUGAGGUCAUUCUGUGUUGAUUUAUACCAUAAGGUGCUGGCUGUCAUGUGUUUGAAGAUACCCUAAACUUAACCUAACCUAACCUAACAAAACCCCAAACAGUCACUAUAGGUCUUGACUCAGAAAACUCAUCUAUACUUCCUUACUAAUGAGACUUUCUAUACAACAAAGUGAGGUCAUUCUGUGUUGAUUUAUACCAUUGAUUUGUGCCAUAAGUUCCCGCCUAUCAUGUGCGCGGGGGUCAGCCUGUCCGCUGGUGGCGCUGACAGAAAGGUUAUAUUGCGAUGGUAACGUUUCCUCUUUGCCAGGCUGAUUCUGCCCCACACUGCCGCCUCUGUCAUGGUCGCUGAGGGCAGGGAUGGAGGUCAGCAUGGGAGAGAUCGUCAGCCACUUGGUCAUGGAUGGAAACACUCAAGACGCCUCACUCAGCACCGGCCACUGUGACCACUCAGCCGCCGGGUCAUCAACGCAACCCUAGGACUGGUAUUAUUCCUGUGACAGAUUGAUUUGAGGUCACAGAGGUCAGGUUUCCAUGAGUGUAUUUUCACAUUCACAGAAGUCUUGUCAAACUAUCACUAGGUUCAUAAAACUACCCAUGGAUAUGUGAACACAACCUCCACCAAAGCCUUGCCAAAAGAGGGUGUUAGCGCCCCAGAAUAUGGGUGUAUGUUACAUCAAUGACUACUCCAGGCUGAUUCAACAUAGUCUGGGAACGCCAACUCUGGCUAUACAGGCACAUGGCACGCUGCCCAGAAGCUGACCCUGCUUACUGGGUGUUUAUAAGAAGCAACCCUGGGUGGAGGGGGCCAAGGGGAUGCCCACAGAGUUCAUGGCUCCAGCAAGUCAAUGGAUCCUGCUGUGAGGUGCUUGGGACAGGAAGGGCGCCUGCAUGGAGACUUGCCCAGAGAAACCCUUGGGAAGCCUGACUGGAUGUUUUAACUGACUUCAUUCAGUCGGUUCUUUAUUUGCACAUAAAACAUAAGUCAUAGACAGAGUCCAGCCAGCCCGGCAACGGUCACAUCUUACUGGGUGCUGUCCUAGUGCCACACGGAUAUGAGGAAGUCCCUUGAGUAGAUUGU